rnacentral:misc_RNA from 1 species
CCAAUAGCGUAUAUUUAAGUUGUUGCAGUUAAAAAGCUCGUAGUUGAAUUUCGGGAUUGACACAUCGGUCGUGCCUUAAGGGGUAUGAACUGGUGUAGUCAAUUUCUCACCUUCUGGAGAACCGCGAUGCCCUUAAUUGGGUGUCGCGGGGAACCAGGACCUUUACUUUGAAAAAAUUAGAGUGUUUAAAGCAGGCAUUUUGCUUGAAUACAUUAGCAUGGAAUAAUAAAAUAGGACGGCAUGAUUCUAUUUUGUUGGUUUCUAGGAUCACCGUAAUGAUUAAUAGGGAUAGUUGGGGGCAUUAGUAUUCAAUUGUCAGAGGUGAAAUUCUUGGAUUUAUUGAAGACUAACUACUGCGAAAGCAUUUGCCAAGGAUGUUUUCAUUAAUCAAGAACGAAAGUUAGGGGAUCGAAGACGAUCAGAUACCGUCGUAGUCUUAACCAUAAACUAUGCCGACUAGGAAUCAGACGAUGUUAAUUUUUUAAUGACUCGUUUGGCACCUUAUGAGAAACCAAAGUGUUUGGGUU